rnacentral:sRNA from 1 species
GGAAAUCCUUGACUCCCACAGCGAUUUUACUCGAUCGCUUUCACAUCAGUCAGCAUCCCCCGAAGCAUAUGAUCAAGAGAAUGUAUUUUCUCAAGACUUCCAACCGUUCAUGAAACAAGAUAAGGAGACGCAGAAUUCGGCUUCACAGCCAACUUCUGAACAAUCGUUGGCCAAUC